GCCGCGGUAGUGCAGUGGUUAGCACGCACUCUUGAGAAGAACGAGAUGUGGGUUGAUUCCCUCCCGAGGUU